CCUGGAGGCUGGACCGAGAGGCAUCCACUUUGUCUGGAGCCUCUCACUCUCACCCUCCCACUGUUCUUGCUGUGCCAGCCAUGGGUUGUGUGGAGCGACGGAUGCCUCCCCACAGGGAGAGGGCAGGAGAGGAGCUCCACUGCUGCGCUUUCUCCAGGCUCUGCUCUCCAGCCCAGCCAGUCCUGCGGCACUCCCAGCCACCUCCGGCCUCCCGGGCUGCCGAUGUACCACUCGCUUGUCUCCCCGUCGCUCAGGGUGACUUCCUAAUGACUAUAAUCAGAGUGUGCAUGGAGAGUGCCUUGCACACAGUAAGCAGAAGAAGGGGCCUGUGAUGAGGAAGUCCCAAAGCAUCUGGAGCUUCUGACCAGUCAGGAGGAUUGCCUGAGGCCAGAAGUUCAAGACCAGCCUGUGCAACAUAGUGAGAUCCCCGUCUCUGAAAAAUAAGUACACAAUUUAGCCAGGGGUGGUGGUGCACACUUGUAGUCUCAGCCACUCAGGAGGCUGGAGAGGGAGGAUUGCUUGAGCUCAGGAGAUCCAGGCUGGAGUGAGCUGUGAUGGUGCCACUGCACUCCAGCCUGGGCAAGAGAGCAAAACCCUGCCCUCCACUCCAAAAUAAAUUAAUUUAGAAAAUAAAAAGAAACACAUUGGGAUGGUGACUUGCAAGGAAUAGAAGGAAAGCCUCCCAGACUGACUCAAGUGACAAGGGAGACAUUGCAAGGGCAAGGGGGGGCUCUUGUGGAUACCCCAAGGAAGGAAGGGAACAACAGCUGAUCCACGCAGGAGCCAGUGUUGGGGAGGGAAGCCCCUCCCUCUGCCUCUGAGACUUCCAUAAUUGAGUCUAUGAAAUAAACUGACAGCAGGCGGAUUAACAGGGGAAAAGGUAGACACAUUUUUUGUGUGCAUAGGAGCGUCACGUGAAGGAAAAGUGCAUACCCCAAACCCAGUGAGAUCUAGAAGCUGAGUUGCAUUCUUCAUGGAGGAGAGAGAAGGGGGGAUGCAGGCAAGUGAGGGGCGAGUAUAUGAGGUUUGGAAAGAUGAAUGGGCCUUUGGGAGAAUAAGUGACAGUCUGACGAAGUCUGCCUGGGUGGGUGCUCCCUAGACCCCAGUUUCCUCUCUCUCCUGUGAUAGGAGCCAGUCUUCACUGGUUGAUGGAUUCCUGGGGAGGGAUUCAUGACAAUUGGCUUAUUUCUGGAGGACCUGUCUUUAGGCAGAUGCAGGGAGUUCAGAGAGAGAACCCCUGACCGCAUUUACUGUACCCCAAGUGCUCUCAGUUUGAGGUAAUCAGCCUACCAGAGCUGAAUAUUUUGGGGUGACAUUUCCUGAACUUUUUUUUUUUUUUUUUAGAAACCAGGAAAGCCAGAAACCCAACCUACUUUCUCCAUCUCUCAAGGCCUUCCCAGUAGCCAAGACUUCUCUCUCUCGGGGUCUCACAUCCCUUUGGGGACCAGCAUCUCCAGAGGUAAGUGACGGUUUUUCCCGUUUAACUUCAGCUCAUGCUGAAAUUAAAUCCUUUCUUUAGUUCUUUUAGCACUGCCAAAGACAGGCUGGUAUUUUCAAAUAUAACUGUAUCUGUUAAAAGCUAGAAAAUAGAAAUAGAAAAUACAAAUAGCAGAAUCAGUUUUCCAAAGGGCAGAUUCUGAGUGCUAGGAAUCCUGGAAGAAGUAGAAACUCAGUUUUCUAAAAUUCCGAGCUACGCAAUAACCUUUCUCUAAACUUCCAGGAGCUGGGACAAUCCUACCCCUGACCCCAUGAGAUAGAUGCCUCAGGUGGAAUCUAGAGAAGUAGAAUCAUCCCAGUCUUUUCGAGGAACCCCUUUGAGAAGAGAGCCUGGCACAUAGUAGGUGCUCAGUAAAUAUACGGCAUCCUAUUUCCAUCAAGUGGAACAGUUUAGCAGGAUAUUUUAUUCCCUCCUGGGAGGAACAAGAAAGACCCCCCAAAGACAAACUCUUCUGUAAAUUAAACCUCUUGGAUCUAAGCCUUCCCUCAUCCCCAUUACUGAAGCUUCAUCCCUAAAUCUUGCCAGUUUCAUAAGAGGCUGGAUAAUGUUUUUGAAAUAGUGAACCUACGUGUACCCAUCGCCUGGUAGCCCCGCACCCACUGAGCCAAUGACAUCGAUGCCUCUGGGGAGGGCGGCUACAGCCUAGAAGUCAAUUGAGUUGCUGAAUGGAUUUUUUUUUUUUUUUUUUUAACUUGAGGCAGAUGCAGAUACAAUAGUCUAUGGGCAAAGCGAUUUUGAUUUGCAAGAGCUAGAGCUUAAGAGAGAAACAGUUUAGCUUUAAAUUCCAAGAAGGCUUAGUUUAAACUCAGGACUGAUCAUUGAAUUUCUGAAAGUUAACUAUAGAAGGUCUGGG
rnacentral:lncRNA from 1 species